AUAUAUCAGGAGGGAAAGAAAGAAGGAGCGAAAAGGCCUGCAGACCAAGGAGAAGCAGCUAAGGCGGCUCUCAUAAAGGAAGGCCGAGAGCGAGGAAGGAGGUUUUCGGGCCCGGAGAAAGCGACCUUGGCGCCACAACAGACCGGAGGAAACCAAACCAGGCCAGGCCGCCCCCCGCUUUCGCUCACCUUGGCCUCAGGCGCGGAGGAGGGCCUCUCGACGUCCCCUCAGGCCGCCGGAAAUCUGGCUGGGCUGCCUGCGCACGGUACGUUACGUUACGUUACGUACAAGCGCUUCCCUUUCCUGAAGGGCGCCUUAGCGACGGCGCACACAAACCCCGCCCUCCCGUCACCGGAAGCGAGUGCUCUCGUGAGAGGUGGCCGAAAGGAGACAAGAUAUGAGAGAGAGAGAGAGAGAGAGAGCGAGAUCUCGCGCCGUCACGUGGUCUGCGUUUGUAUACAAGAAUCUUGCUUGCCUGCCACUGCCCAAAGAAUUGAAUAGAGCAAAGCUGGGAAAGAUUGGACACCCAUAUAUCAUCUCAUACAGGAUCAAGCUAUGGAUGCCCAUUAUUGUCUUAUUCAUGAUCACUGGGUUUCAAAGAGUGGUGCAAUGGGUUAAACCCUUGUGCCGUCUGAACUGCUGACCUAAAAGUUCAAAUCCACAAGACGGGGUGAGUUCUCGCCUGCCAGCUCUAGCUUCCAAUGCGAGGACAUGAGAGAUGUCUGCAGGAUGGUAACACAUCCGGGCGUCCCCUGGGCAACAUCUUUGAAGAUGGCCAAUUCUCUCACACCAGAAGUGACUUGCCUCAAUUUGCUUCUGACACGAAAAAAAACCAGGGUUCAGCAGCUGUACCAGCACCCUGGGAGGAUUGCCACCGAAGCCACUCCAUGAACUGGGAGGUUCUAUGAACUGAUAGACUGGUCUAUGGAGACAUCCACGCCCAAUCUAUUGACCUUGGCAGCAGGAGUAAUAAAGCUACUUAAUUGUAAAAUUGUUUUGUUUCUUUCAUAGUAUGUGUUUCCCCUUUCUCUUUAAUACACUUGUUAUGGCGCAAGUGGCGCCAUCUAUAUCUGGAACUGUAAGUUGCAAGAUUUGAAUUGUUGUAUCAUGCCCGAUUUUGCCUUUUUACCCUGUAAAUGUAGUUGGAUUGAUUGGUUAUUUAUAGCUGUCAAUCAAUGUUGUUUGCACCAGUUAUAUUGCUCCCUCAGCUCAAUUGUUUGUCUCCACCUUUUCCUGGAGUAGGACAGUGUUUCCUUUUUCAUUCCACCAUCAAGCUUUCUAUCAGAUGGACGUGAGAGAGAGACUUGGCUCUAAAAGCCCUUGAUUAAGUUACCUCUCAGCACCAAUUUUGA
rnacentral:lncRNA from 1 species